AGUGAACGCUGGCGGUAGGCCUAACACAUGCAAGUCGAACGGCAGCACAGUAAGAGCUUGCUCUUACGGGUGGCGAGUGGCGGACGGGUGAGGAAUACAUCGGAAUCUACUUUUUCGUGGGGGAUAACGUAGGGAAACUUACGCUAAUACCGCAUACGACCUACGGGUGAAAGCAGGGGAUCUUCGGACCUUGCGCGAUUGAAUGAGCCGAUGUCGGAUUAGCUAGUUGGCGGGGUAAAGGCCCACCAAGGCGACGAUCCGUAGCUGGUCUGAGAGGAUGAUCAGCCACACUGGAACUGAGACACGGUCCAGACUCCUACGGGAGGCAGCAGUGGGGAAUAUUGGACAAAGGGCGCAAGCCUGAUCCAGCCAUCCCGCGUGGGUGAAGAAGGCCUUCGGGUUGUAAAGCCCUUUUGUUGGGAAAGAAAAGCAGCAGGUUAAUACCCCGCUGUUCUGACGGUACCCAAAGAAUAAGCACCGGCUAACUUCGUG
rnacentral:rRNA from 1 species